rnacentral:rRNA from 1 species
GGAUUGAACGCUGGCGGCAUGCCUAACACAUGCAAGUCGAACGGGAGUAGCAAUACUCUAGUGGCGGACGGGUGAGGAAUACGUAGGAAUUUGCCCUUAAGUGGGGGAUAACCCGGGGAAACCCGGAUUAAUACCGCAUGACCUCGAAAGAGCAAAGUGGGGGACCGCAAGACCUCACGCUUUUGGAGAAGCCUACGUCGGAUUAGCUAGUUGGUGAGGUAAUGGCUCACCAAGGCGACGAUCCGUAACUGGUCUGAGAGGAUGAUCAGUCACACCGGAACUGAGACACGGUCCGACUCCUACGGGAGGCAGCAGUGGGGAAUAGUUGGACAAUGGGCGCAAGCCUGAUCCAGCAAUGCCGCGUGUGUGAAGAAGGCCUUGGUGUAAGCUACGUUAACGUUAGGGAAGAAAAACUACGACUCGUAACACAGUGAGUCUUGACGGUACCGACAGAACUAAGCACCGCUAACU